UGGAUUGCCAGAAUGGUGCUUCUCCUUGCUGCCCCCUCGAAGAUGAUGACGGUGAGUAGUCUGGUCUUGACCUGCCCCCUGCUCAGAGUGGGCAGGUGGAUGCUAUGGAUGCAGAAACAGUUGAAGAGCAGAUAGCAGAUGAAGCCGCAAUUGAGGAAGACAAACGCCAAGGUGGGUCAGCUGAUGAGGCUAAAGCGGAUGCGAAGGAGCAAGCAGC
rnacentral:lncRNA from 1 species